GGGGAGGGGAGCUUGGAGGAGAAAACCACAUGCUGCCAAAGUUGAGUGUUUGAGACAUUAGUGCUGGCAGCAGGCUCAGAGGUGAUCCUUUCUGCUGCAGGAACACUGGGAGGCAUCAGCAAGAGCCCACCUCCUCCCUAGGUGCUCCAGAAAGGAAGAGAAGGGACGUGUUGAGGUCGAGGCUGGAGGAGAGGGCCAAACGUGUCAUUGGGCACGAGGCACUGCUGUGCAUCUCACCCCUGCUGAAGGAAACCAUCCCCAGCAAAGCCAGUGAGGCUGUCAGCCCCAGAAGGAGUGACGAUACGCACCAGGAGGACGAUGAAAAGCUGACAUUUCGAUGUUCUGGAGACAGAUGUGCACCUGUGGAGCUGGAUAUCCCAGCACAGCGACUGACCUGCAGACAUUUUUCCCAAAGCUGCUGCCUUUAUUCUUCUGUGGCUAAUCCUGCAUGUCACCAAAGCGGGCAGGCGGUGCGGCCGCGGGAGUGACUGAUGCUGUGCAUCUCACACCAAUCGAUAGCGGAAUCCAUGUAGACGAUGGAUAUUUUGGUGUUUAAUUCACUGCAUAAAAUGAAACAGGUAAAUCACUCAGGAGAGAUGGGAGCUGAUGUUAAUAGCUACAUUUGUAGCGCUAUCUAAAAAUGAAUUCUGCAAUUACCCACUCAUAACAUCAUUUGUGCUCGGCGGCGUGAAAUCUCGGCGCCUCAUCCUCCCCAGAGCGUGCGGUCGUGAUGGAAGAGUCCUCUGCCUUUGUGCUGAGUGCACCCAAAGGUGCAGCGUUCAGGAGGGUGCUGAGCCCUCUGCCCUGCGCUCACCAGAGCAGCACACAUCGUGGGACUGAAAUCUCCCAGAGCUACGAGGCAGCCGCGCCGUGCGCACGGCGGAGACGUGCGUCAGGGUGCAGAGAGACCCAAACUCCAUCCGUGCGUGGAGACACUUCUACGCCCGCCUACCCACACCACUACAUUUUAGUGUCUGUGCCAAUUCCGGGCAGCCACGAGAUCAGAAUUCUCCCUGGGUGAUUCAUCUCCCACCUGCUACUGCUCGGUGCGUCGCGGUGCUGCCUGACGUGGGGCACGGGGCUGCGCUGCUGGAUGCAAUAACACAGCAUCUGAUGGGCAAGAGCCCACCCCAGCCUGGCUGGGGAGUGGGGAGGGGGUGCUGAGCUGUUUCCCUCCUGGCUGCGAUGUUUUUGCUUGCUGUGAAAGGAGGAGGCCCCAGAUGAUACAAAUAUCAACCAAUAUAUCAGGAAAGAGCCAAAUUAAUCACUCGCAUCAGCAGAGUCAUUGUGGCUUACUGAAAAUAAAACAAAACAAUUAUUAUUCGAUGCUUGUCAGGGGGCUGUGGCCCAUCUCUCUGUGCAGAGGGGAAAUCUCACUGUGCCAAUACUCUGCUCAGCACAGCACGAAGCAGUGGCAAUGAAAUCUCUCCUGGUGCACUUGUGUGGGCAUUGGGUGCAUGCCCUCUGCCUUUGUGGGGAACCUCAUCAUGCUAACGGUUGUGCUUGGGGUUGAUGAGCAGGCAAUAUGUCAGACAUAUGUCAGGAGUCCAUCCCAGUGCACCUCCCUGCAUCGGCUGAUGCCUCAUCCAUGGGUGGUCUACAGCUGCAUGGACAGCUGCUUCAGCUUCAUACCCAUGGGCAGCGCUCAGCUGAAGCCCCAGCACCAAUCCCAGCCCUGGAGCACUGGCAGCCCCUCUCUUGGCAGCAUCAGAGAUACGGCAGCUGUGGGAGCCACUGAGUGGGCACUGCUGCACCCGGAGCCCUGCGGGAGAGCGCGGCUGCGGCCAGAAUGAAAGCAUGAGCAGCUCUGGAGCAACUCUGGCAGAAACAAAGUGGUUUCACAUGGAUUAAACAAUCUCUGGAGUUUAUAAACAGAAUAAAUCAGCUGUUUGUGGAGGAGAACGGGGCGUGAAGAAGGGCUGCUUGGUUCUAGCAAGAGUGGUUAUGCAGAGAGAGGAGCUCAGUGGGAUUAGGGACGUGUGUGGGCACGGGGGGGUCUUUGGCACCUCGGUGGCACCAGGCUGUGAUGUGGAGAUAGCCCUGGGGAUGGAGAUGGGAGCUCUGUGGGACAGUGAGAGGAGGAGCUGCCAUUGGGGGCACAGCUCUGAGUGCAAUAGAGCAAAGAUGUCAUAUCCCAGAGGGCGGUAAAGGAUAUUUAUGGUUUGCUGUGCAGGCCAUAAUUGAAUGGCGUUA